UACAGAGGUCUCGAGCGUUAGGCGGAAUCACUGGGCUUAAAGCGUGUGUAGGCGGAUUGCUAAGUACCUUGUGAAAUCCCCGGGCUUAACCUGGGAACUGCAUUUGUGACUGCAUGGCUGGAGUGCGGCAGAGGGGGAUGGAAUUCCGCGUGUAGCAGUGAAAUGCGUAGAUAUGCGGAGGAACACCGAUGGCGAAGGCAAUCCCCUGGGCCUGCACUGACGCUCAUGCACGAAAGCGUGGGGAGCAAACAGG
rnacentral:rRNA from 1 species